GCUCCUGUAGCCCAAUUGGAAGAGGCGGCAGACUUAAAAUCUGUCUGGUUGUGGGUUCGAGUCCCACCAGGAGUACCA
rnacentral:tRNA from 1 species